CUUCUCAUUUUUUGUUCAUUUGUAACCCAAACCUACAGACAGCAACAUUGAAUGUAAGCUAAUCUUUUUUUUCCUCAUGAACAUUAUUCACCUGCUAUUGUUGAUAUAACUCAGUUUGAUUUGAUUGUGAUUACCAUAAGUAUAAAACAUGAAAAAUACUGUUGACAAUCGUGAAAGUAAUAGUUACUGUUUUCCCUGUCAUCUGAAGGGAUCACAUUGUGCAAGUGUAACACCAUAACCAACAACCGCAUCAACUUUUACACUUAAUUAUUGAUUAUACAUCUCCAUCAAACUCUGAUUUUAACAGUGACAUGAUAAUAGGUUAAAUUUGAUUAAUCUAUCUUCUAUUCUCAAUUGGAUUGCUCAAGUGUCACAUAUAUUAAUGAUUGUGUCCAUUUUUGAUUUUUGACUCAAUUUUUACAAUACACUUUGAGGCUCUUUUUUAGAUCAUCAGUACAAAAUGCAGAGAAACUGUAUCAACGUCGAUGGCGAUGAUAUAGUAGUAAAAUAUUAUCCAGAGGAAGCCUCAUUCUGGAUGUAUGCCAUGAUUAUUGUUGGAGCUGGAUUCAUAUUUUUUCUGGUCGGAACUGUUUAUCUCAUGCUAUCUCCUGAUCGGUCUCAUUAACUAAAUGGUCAAUUUUAAAUGUUUAAAGUUAAUUGUAAAUUAUAAUCAACUCGGUUUUGCCCUUAACCUUUCAACUCUUUUUUUUACUCAAUUUUCCUCUUUUGUUCUUGACAUCAAAACAUUUUUUCAUUCAAAUAAAACCAAAUGAACCUCAAGUUUGGAUGUUUUUGUCAAUUUAUAGCCUAUGGAAAAUAUACCAGUAAUUGUACAAUUUUAAGGCCUUAUAAUUGCAAUCAUUAUAAAUGAAAGGACUUUUAAUUGUAAUGUAAUUAUAACUGUAAGGACUUUAAGGAACCGCCAAAAUUAAAUGAUUUUUGCCUUCAUGUGCUUCCAUCUUGUAAGGAAACUUAGUAAUAGAUGAACAUAA